AUUGAACGCUGGCGGCGUGCCUAACACAUGCAAGUCGAGCGGUAACAGGUGUAGCAAUACAUGCUGACGAGCGGCGAACGGGUGAGUAAUGCUUCGGAAUCUACCCAAUGGUGGGGAAUAACCAGCCGAAAGGUUGGCUAAUACCGCAUACGUCCUACGGGAGAAAGCAGGGGAUCGUAAGACCUUGCGCCAAUGGAUGAGCCGAAGUCGGAUUAGCUAGUUGGAGGGUAACGGCCUACCAAGGCGACGAUCCGUAGCUGGUCUGAGAGGACGACCAGCCACACUGGGACUGAGACACGGCCCAGACUCCUACGGGAGGCAGCAGUGGGGAA
rnacentral:rRNA from 1 species